CUGGAAUCUCCUCCCAUCUCCAGAGCUGGUCACCCUUAGAGGCCAUGCUGUAUGUGUUCCUCUAUGAAAUCUUUGAUUCCCCAUGGCAAUCAGAACAAGCUGCUCUCUAUAUACAGUGAGCCAUUGUAGAGGCAGUGGGCGUUGUAAGCAAUGAGAGUGGCACUUCCAAGCACCUUCCCUGGACACUACCCUUGGCAUCUCAGCAUCAAGCUGCCGUAGCUAUGAACUGUGUCAGUGAACACCUGUGCUUUAUCUCAAUUUAUUUUGUGCAUCCAUCGGCAUGAUGUGUCCUAAGGACGGGGUGGGGGCCGAUGACUUGGAACAGGAAAGGAAGAAGAAAGUGAAAGCCAGAUCCUACAGCCCCCGUCCUGCCGGAUGCCUGCCAACCCCUCUCCAGCCUGCCUGUGUGGGAGUGAGGAGAGCGCUCAUUCUGAAACUGUGGAGAUCACCUCUUCUGGAAACGGUCAUAUUUCUUCUC